GAUGAACGCUGGCGGCGUGCCUAAUACAUGCAAGUCGAGCGAACGGACGAGAAGCUUGCUUCUCUGAUGUUAGCGGCGGACGGGUGAGUAACACGUGGAUAACCUACCUAUAAGACUGGGAUAACUUCGGGAAACCGGAGCUAAUACCGGAUAAUAUUUUGAACCGCAUGGUUCAAAAGUGAAAGACGGUCUUGCUGUCACUUAUAGAUGGAUCCGCGCUGCAUUAGCUAGUUGGUAAGGUAACGGCUUACCAAGGCAACGAUGCAUAGCCGACCUGAGAGGGUGAUCGGCCACACUGGAACUGAGACACGGUCCAGACUCCUACGGGAGGCAGCAGUAGGGAAUCUUCCGCAAUGGGCGAAAGCCUGACGGAGCAACGCCGCGUGAGUGAUGGAGGUCUUCGGAUCGUAAAACUCUGUUAUUAGUGAAGAACAUAUGUGUAAGUAACUGUGCACAUCUUGACGGUACCUAAUCAGAAAGCCACGGCUAACUACGUG
rnacentral:rRNA from 1 species